rnacentral:rRNA from 1 species
CGGAGGAUCCGAGCGUUAUCCGGAUUUAUUGGGUUUAAAGGGUGCGUAGGCGGCCUGUUAAGUCAGGGGUGAAAGACGGUAGCUCAACUAUCGCAGUGCCCUUGAUACUGAUGGGCUUGAAUGUACUAGAGGUAGGCGGAAUGUGACAAGUAGCGGUGAAAUGCAUAGAUAUGUCACAGAACACCAAUUGCGAAAGGCAGCUUACUAUGGUAUUAUUGACGCUGAGGCACGAAAGCGUGGGGGAUCAAACAGGAUUAGAUACCCUGGUAGUCCACGCCCUAAACGAUGAAUACUCGAUGUUAGCGAUAUACAGUUAGCGUCAAAGCGAAAGCGUUAAGUAUUCCACCUGGGGAGUACGCCCGCAAGGGUG